GCCCGGUUAGCUCAAUCGGUAGAGCGUGAGACUCUUACGAGAGAUACAUCUCAAGGUUGCGGGUUCGACUCCCGCAUCGGGCU
rnacentral:tRNA from 1 species